CGCAAUAAAGUUCUAUCUAUUAAUGCAAGAAAAACACUUGUAGUGUAUGAUUUCUUCAUGAAUCUGAUUACCCUAAAUCAAGGCCUAAUUGUUGUUUGACAUAUUUCAAUUGAAUUUCAAGAAACUGUUUCAGGCUUUAGUAAGUCUGUAAUGGCCAAUAUUAUUUCAUUCAACUUUCUUUUGUGACUCAAUAACCAAGAACUUUAGAAUAUAACGCAUUAUCUAACAAUUAACUGAUUCUCUUAAUGUUUUCCAGGACAUGUGAGACAGUGACAUCGUUUUUUGGCAGUUCAUGAGGCGAGCCACUGAGGCCUUCUGGUAUUCUACCCAAAGAAGAAGACCAUACUUCUUCUUGAUUCCUCCCAGUCUCCCAAUACUUGCAUUGACAAGUAGGUAGCGUUUGAAAGAGCAAAGCGCUUGUUGACCUUCUACUUGCCACCAAGUGAGCUGAACUGGGAGUCAUGGAACUUCUAAAUGCCCCCUGCUGAUGUAUGUAACAUCUUCACCCAGUCAGCUGUUGCCACCCCAAACGUUGACAGUAUAUUGAACAUACAGCCAAACCCCCCAAAAAUGAGUUAAUAGUGUGAGCAUACACAGAUAUAAAGUUCAAGCUUUGUCCAAGACAGUCUUGUGUUUCGCGCCACAGGUGUCAAAUUCUGUAAGCAACAGGCUUCAUAGGAAUUAUGCUCACUUAAAUCUAUCAGUUUUCAAUAGCCGUAUGAGCUACUAAUGUUUAUAUUUUCUGCAACUUCCGUUUGUUCAGAAAUAUUUAGGAAAUAUGCUACAUGUGGGCACUUAGCAUGGACUCGAUGAUAAGAAAAGAAAUGAAUGGAUAAUAGAUAAUCACAAAACCCGUAAACAUAUCUGUAAAGAAGCUGUAUUCAAUGUAAUCUUGGACUUGUUACUUAGUAUAUACAGAGACACAGAACUACAAAGAAAUAUACAUGCAACAUCGGUGUAGAAGGUUCACUUUGCAAGAAGGGAGAGCUUGCCCUUCAACAUAAAAAUCUGAAGGUAACCAGUUUGAACUUCAGCCAAUGAACACCCUUGGUUAUAUUCCCUUUGACAUAGACAUGUAAUAAUAUAAUAUUGAAUGAAUGAAGAACUUUAUUGUGACUGUAUUUCAUAUUUCCAAUGCAGGGAGUAAGAAACGACCAAAGAAAGCCAAGGGCAAAUUGAGAGCCAAAAAAUCGAAGGCUGUCAGCAAAAAAAAAAUGUUUCUAGUGUACACUACUAAAUGUAAUGUUGACACAUAGGUCCUGAGAAUGACUCGGAAUCUGCAUUGUAUUAUUAUAGAACUGGGUUUGUUUUGAUGUCAACUACUGAUACUGGAUAUUUUGGUUACAUUUUGAUCACAGAUACGCCCUUAAUUGGAAUGUACUAGAAUUACAAGAUGAAAUUGUCUAGGAAAUGGUUCGGAAUGAUAACACCGUGUCAGGUACUUUGUAAAACUUGUUCUGGUGCCAAGAUCAAUUACCCUACAGUCAGAAAAGCUACUGCUGAAUUGGUAGAAUACAAACACACAGUAAAGAUUUUCAAUAUGACAGUUUUGUAUGGAUAAAAUAAAGAAAAUGCUUACCGGAAACGGUUUCAAUGAUUGCUAAGGUGUUGACUUUCAAUUAUUAGAUGCAGGCCCUAAGAAAUAAUGUUAUCUGGCUACUUAGCUAACCUGUAUCAGUCAUUUGCUUUUAAAAACAAGGUAUUUCGCUAUCAAGUCAAUGGACAGUGUAAUAGUUUGAAAAUAACUGAACCUUGAUACCCUGAAUAUCCUAUUUUUAACACAACGGAUAAAGGUUACUCACAGUAUAAAGGUGAACUAGCAUUACAUAUUUGUUUGGUGUGAAUUCACAUAAAAAGUUUUGAAAAUUAUCUAAACAAAAUUUGAAAUAAACAUAACUUUAAAUGCUUGUUACAUCCAUGAAUAUCCUGUCAAUUCUGUAUUUGUUUUUUUGUAGGCGGUAGCCGCUUCACUGUCAACUCAAACAGUGAUCACUGCGAUCAACAAACUGUCUUAUGCUUGCGCCGCCUAAGGGACUUUUUUCUUACUACAUGUUGAUGUUAUUGUGUUUAUGCUUUUUGUUUCAGUAAUGGAAAAUUGGAACUUCAGAAUGAACAAAACUGCUCUAGACCUGCUUGGUUUCAGUCAACCUUAAGUCAUGUACUCGAUAAUAGUAUAGCAUUUGAACAUUGAAAGGGGCUUAUCAUCACGGUUCUUGUUGGUUGUGCCAUGGCCUAUGCUUGGUACUUACCAAUCUCUUAAAGUUGACUCUGAUGAUGGUCGAAAUGAAACCUACGAUAAGUUUCGUGACCUUCUUGGUGAGACAGUUGGCUGAUUGUUUG